ACACCAGCACCUCAAGUGGUCAGGAGGAUUAUUGGGCCUAAAGCAUCCGUAGCCUGUUCUAUAAGUUUUCGGUUAAAUCCAUUAGCUCAACUAAUGGGCUGCCGAAAAUACUGUAGAACUAGGGAGUGGGAGAGGUAGACGGUAUUCGGUAGGAAGGGGUAAAAUCCUUUGAUCUAUUGAGGACCACCUGUGGCGAAGGCGGUCUACCAGAACACGUUCGACGGUGAGGGAUGAAAGCUGGGGGAGCAAACCGGAUUAGAAACCCUAGUAGUCC
rnacentral:rRNA from 1 species